ACUGAGCAGCUACAGCCCCUGGAUGGCGGUCUCAUGCGAGCCAGUACAUCAACUUCAACUUUGCUCAUUUUCUAAAUACAUGAAGCCUUCAUUUUUACACAUGGUUAAUAACAAACGGACUCUUAUCUUCCUGGGACGGCUUGCAAAAUACGAGGAGACGCUACAAGAUUUGAUAAGCAGCCUGUUUAGCGACAUUGGAGGGGUGACUGAAGGAAGGCAUGGAAAGAGAAAUGCAGCAAGGAGUAGUCGCACACGCUGGCAGAAAGAACUUUCAAUAUUUUCCAGUUGAGCAGCAAAAAUCGACACCCAAGGCCAACAGACCCAGCUCCAGCCCACCUGAUGCUCAUCUUUGCACUGCCUGGGACACCUAAGGCUAACAGGCGCAGCUCCCGUUCUCUUUUUGUCGUGAAUACAUAUCUACUUUAUAUAUAGACGUGCUCAAAUUUGUUAGUACCCCUGCACAAAAAAUGAAGAAUGCACAAUUAUUUUCUCUGAAAUAACUUGAAACUGACAAAAGUAAUUGGUAUCCACCAUUGUUUAUUCCAUAUAGAAAUCAGACUUUGCUUUUGAUUUUUUAUUCAGCAUAAUAUUGUAAAUAAUAAAACAAAUGAAAAUGUCAUGGACAAAAAUGAUGGGACUCCUAACCUAAUAUUUUGUUGCUCAGCCUUUAGAGGCAAUCACUGCAAGCAAACGUUUUCUGUAGCUCUCAAUGAGACUUCUGCACCUGUUAACGGGUAGUUUGGCCCACUCUUCCUGAGAAAACUGCUCCAGCUGUCUCAGGUUUGAUGGGUGCCUUCUCCAGACUGCAAGUUUCAGCUCUUUCCAUAGAUGUUCAAUGGGAUUCAAAUCAGAAGGCCACUUCAGAAUAGUCCAAUGUUUUGUUCUCAUCCAUUCUUGGGUGAUUUUGACUGUGUGUAUUGGGUCA